GACGAACGCUGGCGGCGUGCCUAAUACAUGCAAGUCGAGCGGAAGUUGAAGAGCUUGCUCUUCAACUUUAGCGGCGGACGGGUGAGUAACACGUGGGCAACCUGCCCUGCAGAUCGGGAUAACUCCGGGAAACCUGUGCUAAUACCGAAUAGUUUUCGCCACCUCCUGGUGGCGUACGGAAAGACGGUUUCGGCUGUCACUGCAGGAUGGGCCCGCGGCGCAUUAGCUAGUUGGUGGGGUAACGGCCCACCAAGGAAACGAUGCGUAGCCGACCUGAGAGGGUGAUCGGCCACACUGGGACUGAGACACGGCCCAGACUCCUACGGGAGGCAGCAGUAGGGAAUCUUCCGCAAUGGACGAAAGUCUGACGGAGCAACGCCGCGUGAGUGACGAAGGUUUUCGGAUCGUAAAACUCUGUUGUGAGGGAAGAACAAGUACCACUUAACUACUGGUACCUUGACGGUACCUCACCAGAAAGCCACGGCUAACUACGUGCCAGCAGCCGCGGUAAUAC
rnacentral:rRNA from 1 species